UGGGAGAACAGCCUGUGUUGCAAUCAUUAGAAACAAUGAACUUCUUGUUGCAAAUGCUGGUGAUUCUCGUUGUGUGAUAUCUAGGAAGGGUCAGGCAUAUAAUUUGUGAUC